AGUGAUGAUGUGUCAAUCUUAUGA
rnacentral:siRNA from 1 species